CGAGUCUUUGAACGCAAGUUGCGCCCGAGGCCAUCAGGCUAAGGGCACGCCUGCCUGGGCGUCGUGUGCUACGUCUCUCCCACCAAUGCUUGCUCGGCAUAUAACUAGGUUGGCAUUGUGUGGAUGUAAAAGAUUGGCCCCUUGUGCCUAGGUGCGGCGGGUCUAAGGAU
rnacentral:rRNA from 1 species